AGCUUAAUAAAAUACGGCAUACACUCUUAAAAAAAUAAAAAAGAAAAAAGUUUAUCGUAUAUUUUUUUCUUAGGGACGGGACAACACGACAUAUGCUAUUGUACAGUCACAACACAAGUGGGCAUGGCAAGUGUGUUGGGCCGGAUCUAAGCAGAAAAAAAAUAGGCACAACACAAAACACAUGGUGAGUACAGCACGACAUGAGCACGAGCACGCAUGUGCCUUCCUUUAAUGAUGGUCCAGCCCGUUGACCAUCUCUAAUCUCAUCAUAUUUUAACAACUAAAAUUGGAUCAACCUAGUUAUAUAUAUAGGGGGAGGUUCAAACUUUCAUAGAGCAGAUUGAAUUUGUAAUUUGUUGGGAAAAACAAUAUUAAAUCAAUAAUGCAAUUCACAUCAGUAACUUUCUCAUAUUCAGAAAAGAAAAAAAAUAGUAUUUUUCUCGUGCCCAAAAUUAUCAAAUUAAGUUAAAUUGAACCCUUUGACUACAUUGAAUUAAUAAUAAGCUUUGAUGUCUUCUCUUGUUCCCCCCAACCUCAGUUCAAAAACUGAAAUAAGUUCAUGUAUUUGAUCAAUAUGCAGUAUACAAAGGAUUAAGGAAUAUUCCCAACUAAAUAAUUAAGGACAUUUAUGCAUGCAUGAAUCAACAGCUACCUAGCUUAUCAUUGCAUUUCUUUCUUUUCUUUAAAAUUGUAUCAUAAGGUCAAAAUUAAUUAAUGUGUCGCCAUAGAAUUUUUUAAUAAUAUAUUGUAAUGAAAAAUCUGUCAAAACUCUAUUUAGGUUUCUUUGUUAUGGCAUCGUUAUUGAAUGUCGAACUUAAAAUAAAUCGAAUCUGCCUUCAAAUAAUUGGAAAAAAAAAUGAUAAUAAUCUUGAGCGCUUACGUAUUUUUCAUUGAAUGAAAAAUGACUUCUUCUCAUGCAAUUUAGGCGACCCAGCUGUCUUCUUUCUGGGGGCAUUGUUGGUUCAUGGUUGCCCCUAUAACGCUUCCCUCACUUUAAUUUCUUUUAUGGUGUGUGUGUUGCUUUGUAGCUGUGCCUCCAUUUACUGUUUCUUCUGCUUCUUCUUUAUUAUUGUUAUUAUUAAAUAACAUGGACCAAAAAUUAUUUAAUUUAAUCAAUGAAUUUAAGUCACAUCAGUAUAUAGCAAAUAAGUUUAUGUAACAGUUUGU
rnacentral:lncRNA from 1 species